rnacentral:rRNA from 1 species
AACGAACGCUGGCGUCGUGCCUAACACAUGCAAGUCGAACGGGGUUAAGGGGCUUGCUCCUUAACUUAGUGGCGCACGGGUGAGUAACGCGUGGAUAAUCUGCCCUGGUAUCUGGGAUAACAUUUCGAAAGGAGUGCUAAUACCGGAUAAGCCCACGGGGACUUCGGUCCUUGCGGGAAAAGGUGGGGACCUUCGGGCCUACUUUAUCAGGAUGAGUCCGGGUACCAUUAGCUAGUUGGCGGGGUAAUGGCCCACCAAGGCGACGAUGGUUGGCUGGUCUGAGAGGAUGAUCAGCCACACUGGAACUGAGACACGGUCCAGACUCCUACGGGAGGCAGCAGUGGGGAAUUUUGCGCAAUGGGGGAAACCCUGACGCAGCAACGCCGCGUGAGUGAUGAAGGCCUUCGGGUCGUAAAGCUCUGUCAGAGGGAAAGAAGUGUGGGGAGGCUAAUACCCUUUUCACUUGACGGUACCCUCAAAGGAAGCACCGGCUAACUCCGUGCCAGCAGCCGCCGUAAAAC